AUGAGGCACCAGCAGAGGAGGACGACUCCUCCUUCCACCCCUAGCCACGACGUCCAACCACUAACGCCGCCAGAAACCGUAGCCCGAAUCGGGCAGAUGUGCAGCAGCACGGGAUCCCCUCCAAAAGUAGCAUCUUCUUCUUCCUCUGGUUCUUCUUCUUCCCCGGAUCUGAUGCGUGUGCGUGUUCUCGUGGUUGUGUGCAGGCAGUUGAAGGAAGGGGCGGGCCAUGGAGACGCUGCAGGGGCCGCAUCGAGCACGCACACACACCGCCGUCCCUCGGAGGGCACCUCGCUGCUGGGGCUCGCCAACUACGUGGACGAGGAGGAGGAUGAGCACGGGGGCCCGAGGGGGCGCGCGAACGGCCGGCCCCGCGAGAAGGAGGAGGAGGACGAGAGGAGGGCUCUGGAGAGGCAACCCAUGCAGGUCGAGCUGCGCCGGGACUGCUCCUACCUCGACACUGUCAAUCGACUGAGGCCGCUUGAGAAGAGGCAGUUUGGGGUGUUUAGGGAUUGUAUGUAUGGGGGCAUUGAAGGCGUUCCUCUGCACGCUAACUGCAGGAGGAUGGCGAAGCUUCAACUGAUUGGCAGAUUAACGACUUGGCUCUCCAAGCAACAAAAUCAGUUCAGCGGCGGUCUUGGUUCCACUUCCUUGCUUAUUGAGGUGAUUAACGCUGACUAG
rnacentral:rRNA from 1 species